rnacentral:lncRNA from 7 species
UAAGGACACGCCAAGGUGGCGCUCGGGAGGCGGCGUGGGGCGGCGGACGCGCGAAGGACACGCGAAGGACACGCGAAGGACACGCUAAGGACACGCGAAGGGUGGGGGGUGUGGAGGGCGUGGGGUCUGGCUGUGGUGGUCGGUGGUUUCGGGACACGCUAAGGACAUGCUUAGGUCAUGGAACGUGCUAUGGACGUGCUUAGCUCAUGGAAAAUGCUAAGGACGUGGUUGAAUCAUGGAACAUGCUAAGGACAUGCUUAGGUUGGGGAACAUGCUAGACAUGGUUGAGUCAUGGAGCAUGCUAUGGACAUGCUUAGCUCAUGGAACAUGCUAAGGACAUGCUUAGCUCAUGGAACAUGGCUAAGGACAUGGCUUAGUCACUGAACAUGCUAAGGACAUGGGUGAGUCAUGGAACAUGCUAAGGACAUGCUUAACUCAUGGAACGUGCUAAGGACAUGCUUAACUCAUGGAACAUGCUAAGGACAUGCUUGUGUCAUGGAACAUGCUAAGAACAUGGGUUUAUCAUUGGAC